CCCUUAGAUGUCCUGGGCCGCACGCGUGCUACACUGACGCAUACAGCGAGUACUCCCGGCUCCGCAAUGGCAGCUGGUAAUCAUCAAUAUGCGUCGUGAUGGGGAUAGAUCUCUGGAAUUUUUGAUCUUGAACGAGGAAUGCCUAGUAAGCGCAGGUCAUCAGCCUGCGUUGAUUAAGUCCCUGCCCUUUGUACACACCGCCCGUCGCUCCUACCGAUUUCGAGUGGUCCGGUGAACCUUUCGGACCGGGAGCAGCCUCGUGCUGCGCCUGGAAAGUCAAGUAAACCAUAUCACUUAGAGGAAGGAGAAGUCGUAACA
rnacentral:rRNA from 1 species